CCUACGGGGCGCAGCAGUGGGGAAUAUUGGACAAUGGGCGAAAGCCUGAUCCAGCCAUGCCGCGUGUGUGAAGAAGGCCUUCGGGUUGUAAAGCACUUUCAGUGGGGAAGAAAGCCUUGGGGCUAAUACCCUCGAGGAAGGACAUCACCCACAGAAGAAGCACCGGCUAACUCCGUGCCAGCAGCCGCGGUAAUACGGAGGGUGCGAGUGUUAAUCGGAAUUACUGGGCGUAAAGCGCGCGUAGGCGGUCUGAUAAGCCGGUUGUGAAAGCCCCGGGCUCAACCUGGGAACGGCAUCCGGAACUGUCAGGCUAGAGUGCAGUAGAGGAAGGUAGAAUUCCCGGUGUAGCGGUGAAAUGCGUAGAGAUCGGGAGGAAUACCAGUGGCGAAGGCGGCCUUCUGGACUGACACUGACGCUGAGGUGCGAAAGCGUGGGUAGCAAACAGGAUUAGAUACCCCAGUAGUC
rnacentral:rRNA from 1 species